rnacentral:lncRNA from 1 species
GCCUUUUAUACACUCAGAGAUUUAAAUAAAGUAGAUUAUGGGUUGAUUUAUGUAAACCAUUGAAAACUCCACUUGAAUAGGUUUACAAGCUGUCUUUUGUCAGUUUAGCUUUCUUUGAUAUCUGAGAUUGCAAAUUAAAAUAUGAAAUGAAACGAAAGUUACACCAAAUCUGCAACAUGUCAUUUAUAACAAGGAAGCUGGCAUUUCAGAGGAGUGAACUGUACACGCCGUAGGGCUUUGAUCUUUAGGUCGGAGAAGCUGCAGGCAGAAAGCACACGGUUUUUCAAAAAUAAGUUUUGCUCACAAGAAACCACCUGUUUUGUGUUCUGGUUAGGUACAUCUGAGAGACAAAGGUCAAGAAAUGGGCUCCUUGCCAGGCCACGGCCAUGAUCCAGGUUUUCUGAGACUGAGUACAUUCAUCUGAGCUGUUAGCUGCUACGCUCCACCGCAUCCCUGUAUGAUCUGCCUAGGCUUGGUCCCCCAGAGGAAAUUUCUGCAUGCAUACUGUAUAUGAACUUUAGAUAAAUAAAUAAACACGAGAAACAGCUUCCAGAUAAUUGAAAGCGAGUGAAGGAGGGAGCAAAAAGAAAACAAUUUCUCAGGGGAGAAGCAAGCUGAGGUGGCAGGUAUUCUGGUUGGGAGGGCCAGUGUCAGCGAGCGACAUGACGGACAGAGAGAUGAAAUCUCAAUCCUGUACUCAGCCUGGCUGCUGUCUGUACCUGGGCCUUGCUGCACCAUCUCUUGAAUGCAAAGCAAUUCAAGGAAAAGAGUAACCUCUGUUACAUUAGAAAUCACACGUUUCUGACCCAGAAAGAGAGGAAUUUCACAGUCUCUCAGGACAUGUGCAGAAGGGAGGAUUUCUGGAGCCUAAACAAGAGGAGCCCAGGAGAUGCUGGUGUGAAGGCUCACUGCAAGCACCUGCUGCUUCUGGAGGAGUUCCUGUGGCAAUGCAUGUCCUCAGGAUGAAUAGGUAAAGCUAUCUUGUACUAGUAGAUAUUUUUCCCUCUGGUUUCUACAUAUUUGAAAAGCUACAC